rnacentral:rRNA from 1 species
UACAGAGGGUGCAAGCGUUGUUCGGAAUUAUUGGGCGUAAAGGGAGUGUAGGCUGUUAGUUAAGUCUUCUGUGAAAUCUACGGGCUCAGCCUGUAACGUGCAGAGGAAACUGGCUGACUUGAGUGUCGGAGAGGAUAGGGGAAUACCCAGUGUAGAGGUGAAAUUCGUAGAGAUUGGGUGGAACACCAGUGGCGAAGGCGCCUGUCUGGCUGACAACUGACGCUGAGACUCGAAAGCAUGGGGAGCAAACAGG